ensembl:snRNA U6 U6 spliceosomal RNA
GUGCUCACUUUGGCAAUACAUAACCUAAAAUUGGAAUGGUACAGAGAUUAGCAUGGCCCCUGCACAAGAAUGACUUGCAAAUUUGUGAAGCAUCUGCAUUUGUA